rnacentral:rRNA from 1 species
GAUGAACGCUAGCGGCAGGCUUAAUACAUGCAAGUCGUGGGGCAGCAGGGGUAGCAAUACUUGCUGGCGACCGGCAAACGGGUGCGUAACACGUACGCAACUUUCCUUCAAGCGGGGAAUAGCCCAGAGAAAUUUGGAUUAAUACCCCAUAAAAUUUUGAGAUGGCAUCAUCUUAUUAUUAAAGCUCCGGCACUUGAAGAUGGGCGUGCGGCUGAUUAGGUAGUUGGCGGGGAACGGCCACCAAGCCUACGAUCAGUAGCUGAUGUGAGAGCAUGAUCAGCCACACGGGCACUGAGACACGGGCCCGACUCCUACGGGAGGCAGCAGUAAGGAAUAUUGGUCAAUGGACGCAAGUCUGAACCAGCCAUGCCGCGUGAAGGAUGAAGGUCCUCUGGAUUGUAAACUUCUUUUAUUUGGGAACGAAAAAGGAAUUUCUUUCUCACUUGACGGUACCAGAUGAAUAAGCACCGGCUAACUCCGUGCCAGCAGCCGCC